UACAGAGGUCCCAAGCGUUGUUCGGAUUCAUUGGGCGUAAAGGGUGCGUAGGCGGCGCGGUAAGUCGGGUGUGAAAUCUCGGAGCUUAACUCCGAAACUGCAUUCGAUACUGCCGUGCUUGAGGACUGGAGAGGAGACUGGAAUUUACGGUGUAGCGGUGAAAUGCGUAGAUAUCGUCAAGAACACCUAUAGCGAAGGCAGCUUACUAGGCUGUAACUGACGCUGAGGCACGAAAGUGUGGGGAGUCGAAA
rnacentral:rRNA from 1 species